GCAGUAAUGGCCUAGUGGAUAAGGUGAUUGAUUGGAGAUCAAAGGUCGCGGGUUCGAUCCCCAUCUUCACUGGG